CCGGGACUGAAUUGAAAAAGAAACCGCACUAACGUGUUUUAGCAGCGAGCGAAAUUUGUUGAGCUAUUUCACAGCUUAUCAUUUUUGCUUCUAAUCAAGACAGUCACGACAGUUCCAAACUAGAUGUUGUUAAAACUCUGGACAUAAUGUGAACCAUCUAUUUAACACAGUAAUUAAAUGCCAGGUGUCCACACUGAGACAGCUGUGUGCAGACAAAACAGGGUCACAGCAUCUCCUAGAGGAUUCUGAAAAGCUCUGUAAAGCUGAGAAAGAUAAUCAAAGAACAGUUCUCAAGGUUGCAGAGAGGAAGCAACUGGAGGCUUGCUAUCAUCACUGUAUCUAGCUUUUUCUGGCUCCCAAAGAGAAGACAGGAAACCUCAAGGGGACAAAUGGAGAUGAAAAGGGCCUGUGACUGCCCACCAUACAGGCUCUUUUUUGCUCUGGAGCUGGG